rnacentral:rRNA from 1 species
UACAGAGGUCCCGAGCGUUGUUCGGAUUCACUGGGCGUAAAGGGUGCGUAGGUGGCGAGGCAAGUCGGAUGUGAAAUCUCGGAGCUCAACUCCGAAACGGCAUUGGAAACUGCUUUGCUAGAGGAUUGGAGGGGGGACUGGAAUGCUUGGUGUAGCAGUGAAAUGCGUAGAUAUCAAGCGGAACACCAGUGGCGAAGGCGAGUCCCUGGACAAUACCUGACACUGAGGCACGAAAGCUAGGGGAGCAAACAGG